rnacentral:rRNA from 1 species
UGAGGAAUAUUGGUCAAUGGAGGCAACUCUGAACCAGCCAUGCCGCGUGCAGGAAGAAUCAUCUAUGGCGUGUAAACUGCUUUUGUACGGGAAGAAAAACGAAUUACGAGUAAUUUAUUGACGGUACCGUAAGAAUAAGGAUCGGCUAACUCCGUGCCAGCAGCCGCGGUAAUACGGAGGAUCCAAGCGUUAUCCGGAAUCAUUGGGUUUAAAGGGUCCGUAGGCGGCCUUAUAAGUCAGUGGUGAAAGUUUUCGGCUUAACCCGAAAAAUUUCGCCAUUGAUACUGUAGGGCUUGAAUGAUUGUGAAGUAACUAGAAUAUGUAGUGUAGCGGUGAAAUGCAUAGAUAUUACAUGGAAUACCAAUUGCGAAGGCAGGUUACUAACAAUUAAUUGACGCUGAUGGACGAAAGCGUGGGUAGCGAACAGGAUUAGAUACCC